UGCCGCGUGAAUGAAGAAAUUCUUCGGAAUGUAAAAUUCUGUGGUGAGGGAAGAAAAGUAUUAGAAGGAAAUGGCUAAUAUUUGACGGUACCUUACUAGAAAGCCCCGGCUAACUAUGUGCCAGCAGCCGCGGUAAUACAUAGGGGGCAAGCGUUAUCCGGAAUUAUUGGGCGUAAAGCGUGCGUAGGCGGCCACUUAAGUCUGUCGUGAAAGCCCACAGCUUAACUGUGGAGGGUCGAUGGAAACUGGGAGGCUUGAAUCUAGGAGAGGUAAGUGGAAUUCCAUGUGUAGCGGUAAAAUGCUUAGAUAUAUGGAGGAACACCAGUGGCGAAGGCGGCUUACUGGUCUAGAAUUGACGCUGAUGCACGAAAGCGUGGGUAGCAAACAGGAUUAGAUACCCUGGUAGUCCACGCCGUAAACGAUGAGCACUAAGUGUCGGACGUAAGUUCGGUGCUGAAGUUAACGCAUUAAGUGCUCCGCCUGGGGAGUACGGUCGCAAGACUGAAACUCAAAGGAAUUGACGGGGACUCGCACAAGCGGUGGAGCAUGUGGUUUAAUUCGACGCAACGCGAAAAACCUUACCAGGCCUUGACAUACCGAUGACGUCUUUAGAGAUAGAGAGUUACCUUCGGGUACAUUGGAUACAGGUGGUGCAUGGUUGUCGUCAGCUCGUGUCGUGAGAUGUUGGGUUAAGUCCCGCAACGAGCGCAACCCUUAUCAUUAGUUGCUAACAGUCAGAUGAGCACUCUAAUGAGACUGCCAGCGAAAAGUUGGAGGAAGGUGGGGAUGACGUCAAAUCAUCAUGCCCCUUAUGGCCUGGGCUACACACGUGCUACAAUGGCUGGUACAAAGAGGAGCGAAGCUGUGAAGUGGAGCAAAUCUCAAAAAGCCAGUCUCAGUUCGGAUUGUAGUCUGCAACUCGACUACAUGAAGUUGGAAUCGCUAGUAAUCGUAAAUCAGCAUGUUACGGUGAAUACGUUCUCGAGUCUUGUACACACCGCCCGUCACACCAUGAGAGUUUGUAAUACCCGAAGCCGGUGGCUUAACCGCAAGGAGAGAGCCGUCUAAGGUAGGACAGAUGAUUGGGGUGAAGUCGUAACAAGGUAUCCCUACGAGAACGUGGGGAUG
rnacentral:rRNA from 1 species